UACGUAGGGGCGAGCGUUGUCCGGAUUUACUGGGCGUAAAGGGUGAGUAGGCGGUUAUAUAUGUCAGGUGUAAAAAGCUAUGGCUUAACCAUAGUAAGCACUUGAAACUGUAUGACUUGAGUGCAGGAGAGGUAAGCGGAAUUCCUAGUGUAGCGGUGAAAUGCGUAGAUAUUAGGAGGAACACCGGUGGCGAAGGUGGCUUACUGGACUGUAACUGACGCUGAGGCGCGAAAGCGUGGGUAGCAAACAGGAUUAGAUACCCGGGUAGUCCCUGA
rnacentral:rRNA from 1 species